GGAGGACCAACCAUUGCCGUCCUUAUUCCAUUUCAACACCAGCUGGAACAUCCCCAAGGGGACAAAGCAGGGAGCAAACCCAAGGCUCACUGAAAACUUGACUGGGAUGCAAAGCAGAGCCCAGGACAGCAGGGUCUUGGCACUGCCAAACACGGAAACUAACUCAGGUGUCUACGGGAGAGGCCUUCUGAAGGUCAGGCCAACAACCCUUGUCGCCAAACACAUAAGCAGCUCCCGUGAUGGGAAUUUCACUGGGCAGGGAGGAGAGGAUGGGACAGAGCCAGACUGGCCUGAUUGGCGAGAUAUUACGAGACACUGGGCCUUUGGGCCCCCGUAAGUCAGACUCUGCGGAUGCCGUCUGCCCUGUCUUUCUUAGACCCAGCCCUGAAACGCGCCUCCCAUGGCAACUCUGACAGAACCUUUUCCGUCCUGCAUGGCUCUCACCUGUCCUCUGACGCACCAUCAUAACGUGACACAUAAGUGGUAGGUACUUAUGGGGACUUCCAGUGCAGAGAUGGAAGAUACCAAAAACAAAACAAAACAGAGAAACAGCAACCACCACAAACCCAAGAGGCCACCAACAAAACACAACAACAACAAAAUUUCACAGACCAGCUGGAGACAACACCCCCACAGACAAAUGUAGAGGGAAGAAUAAGAGUUUUGGAGUCCAUGAGGCCUGAAUAAACACCUGGUCUGUGACAUUUACUA